rnacentral:rRNA from 1 species
AUACGUAGGGGGCGAGCGUUGUCCGGAAUGAUUGGGCGUAAAGGGCGCGUAGGCGGCGCGGUAAGUCUGGAGUGAAAGUCCUGCUUUCAAGGUGGGAAUUGCUUUGGAUACUGCCGCGCUUGAGUGCAGGAGAGGUUAUCGGAAUUCCCGGUGUAGCGGUGAAAUGCGUAGAGAUCGGGAGGAACACCAGUGGCGAAGGCGGGUAACUGGACUGCAACUGACGCUGAGGCGCGAAAGUGUGGGGAGCAAACAGGAUUAGAUACCCUGGUAGUCCACACUGUAAACGAUGAAUGCUAGGUGUAAGAGGUAUCGACCCCUUUUGUGCCGCAGUUAACACAAUAAGUAUUCCGCCUGGGGAGUACGGCCGCAAGGUUGAAACUCAAAUGAAUUGACGGGG